rnacentral:tRNA from 1 species
AGAAAAGUAAGCUAAUAAAAGCUAAUGGGUUCAUACCCCAUAAAUAGAGUAAACACUCUCUCUUCUA